rnacentral:lncRNA from 1 species
UUUUCGAGACACUAUUUAUAUAUGGCUCCGUUUGGAUCGGGAAUUAGUAGGAACUAGUUAUACCGGGGAUAGGUACAAGUAUGAGUUUUUGUAGGAAUAAGGGUAUUUUUUUGUUUGGAUGAAAUUGUGAGUAUAAGCUGGAACUAGAAAAAUUGUGUUUGGAUGGUUUUUGGGAAUAAGAGGAAUAGUUGGUAGUUAUAAAUAGAAAAUAAUAAUAUUAUCCCUAUAAUUGAAUU